AAUCGUACCCCAAACCGACACAGGUGGUCAGGUAGAGAAUACCAAGGCGCUUGAGAGAACUCGGGUGAAGGAACUAGGCAAAAUGGUGCCGUAACUUCGGGAGAAGGCACGCUGAUAUGUAGGUGAAGCGACUUGCUCGUGGAGCUGAAAUCAGUCGAAGAUACCAGCUGGCUGCAACUGUUUAUUAAAAACACAGCACUGUGCAAACACGAAAGUGGACGUAUACGGUGUGACGCCUGCCCGGUGCCGGAAGGUUAAUUGAUGGGGUUAGCGGUAACGCGAAGCUCUUGAUCGAAGCCCCGGUAAACGGCGGCCGUAACUAUAACGGUCCUAAGGUAGCGAAAUUCCUUGUCGGGUAAGUUCCGACCUGCACGAAUGGCGUAAUGAUGGCCAGGCUGUCUCCACCCGAGACUCAGUGAAAUUGAACUCGCUGUGAAGAUGCAGUGUACCCGCGGCAAGACGGAAAGACCCCGUGAACCUUUACUAUAGCUUGACACUGAACAUUGAGCCUUGAUGUGUAGGAUAGGUGGGAGGCUUUGAAGUGUGGACGCCAGUCUGCAUGGAGCCGACCUUGAAAUACCACCCUUUAAUGUUUGAUGUUCUAACGUUGGCCCCUAAUCGGGGUUGCGGACAGUGUCUGGUGGGUAGUUUGACUGGGGCGGUCUCCUCCUAAAGAGUAACGGAGGAGCACGAAGGUUGGCUAAUCCUGGUCGGACAUCAGGAGGUUAGUGCAAUGGCAUAAGCCAGCUUGACUGCGAGCGUGACGGCGCGAGCAGGUGCGAAAGCAGGUCAUAGUGAUCCGGUGGUUCUGAAUGGAAGGGCCAUCGCUCAACGGAUAAAAGGUACUCCGGGGAUAACAGGCUGAUACCGCCCAAGAGUUCAUAUCGACGGCGGUGUUUGGCACCUCGAUGUCGGCUCAUCACAUCCUGGGGCUGAAGUAGGUCCCAAGGGUAUGGCUGUUCGCCAUUUAAAGUGGUACGCGAGCUGGGUUUAGAACGUCGUGAGACAGUUCGGUCCCUAUCUGCCGUGGGCGCUGGAGAACUGAGGGGGGCUGCUCCUAGUACGAGAGGACCGGAGUGGACGCAUCACUGGUGUUCGGGUUGUCAUGCCAAUGGCACUGCCCGGUAGCUAAAUGCGGAAGAGAUAAGUGCUGAAAGCAUCUAAGCACGAAACUUGCCCCGAGAUGAGUUCUCCCUGAGACUUAGAGUCUCCUGAAGGAACGUUGAAGACGACGACGUUGAUAGGCCGGGUGUGUAAGCGCAGCGAUGCGUUGAGCUAACCGGUACUAAUGAACCGUGAGGCUUAACCUU
rnacentral:rRNA from 1 species